rnacentral:rRNA from 1 species
GCCCAGCCGUAAACUUUUAUUUACAUAUAAAUCGCCAGGGAACUACGAGCCAAGCUUAAAACCCAAAGGACUUGACGGUACCCCAUAUCCCCCUAGAGGAGCCUGUCCUAUAAUCGAUAAUCCACGUUUAACCUCACCAUUUUUAGUUCUUCAGCCUGUAUACCUCCGUCGUCAGCUUACCACGUGAGCGCUUAUUAGUGAGCCUAAUGUUAUUUCACCAAUACGUCAGGUCAAGGUGCAGCAAAUGAAAUGGGAAGAGAUGGGCUACACUUUCUACUAUAGAAAAAACGAAAAACUACCUAUGAAACCUAGUUAGAAGGCGGAUUUAGCAGUAAAAAGGAAUCAGCAUGUCCAUUUUAACCCGGCACUGGGGUGUGUACACACCGCCCGUCACCCU